AGCGUACACGGUGGAUGCCCUGGCAGUCAGAGGCGAUGAAGGACGUGCUAAUCUGCGAUAAGCGUCGGUAAGGUGAUAUGAACCGUUAUAACCGGCGAUUUCCGAAUGGGGAAACCCAGUGUGUUUCGACACACUAUCAUUAACUGAAUCCAUAGGUUAAUGAGGCGAACCGGGGGAACUGAAACAUCUAAGUACCCCGAGGAAAAGAAAUCAACCGAGAUUCCCCAGUAGCGGCGAGCGAACGGGGAGCAGCCCAGAGCCUGAAUCAGUAUGUGUGUUAGUGGAAGCGUCUGGAAAGGCGCGCGAUACAGGGUGACAGCCCCGUACACAAAAAUGCACAUGCUGUGAGCUCGAUGAGUAGGGCGGGACACGUGGUAUCCUGUCUGAAUAUGGGGGGACCAUCCUCCAAGGCUAAAUACUCCUGACUGACCGAUAGUGAACCAGUACCGUGAGGGAAAGGCGAAAAGAACCCCGGCGAGGGGAGUGAAAAAGAACCUGAAACCGUGUACGUACAAGCAGUGGGAGCACAGAGCAAUCUGUGUGACUGCGUACCUUUUGUAUAAUGGGUCAGCGACUUAUAUUCUGUAGCAAGGUUAACCGAAUAGGGGAGCCGAAGGGAAACCGAGUCUUAACUGGGCGUUAAGUUGCAGGGUAUAGACCCGAAACCCGGUGAUCUAGCCAUGGGCAGGUUGAAGGUUGGGUAACACUAACUGGAGGACCGAACCGACUAAUGUUGAAAAAUUAGCGGAUGACUUGUGGCUGGGGGUGAAAGGCCAAUCAAACCGGGAGAUAGCUGGUUCUCCCCGAAAGCUAUUUAGGUAGCGCCUCGUGAAUUCAUCUCCGGGGGUAGAGCACUGUUUCGGCAAGGGGGUCAUCCCGACUUACCAACCCGAUGCAAACUGCGAAUACCGGAGAAUGUUAUCACGGGAGACACACGGCGGGUGCUAACGUCCGCCGUGAAGAGGGAAACAACCCAGACCGCCAGCUAAGGUCCCAAAGUCAUGGUUAAGUGGGAAACGAUGUGGGAAGGCCCAGACAGCCAGGAUGUUGGCUUAGAAGCAGCCAUCAUUUAAAGAAAGCGUAAUAGCUCACUGGUCGAGUCGGCCUGCGCGGAAGAUGUAACGGGGCUAAACCAUGCACCGAAGCUGCGGCAGCGACGCUUAUGCGUUGUUGGGUAGGGGAGCGUUCUGUAAGCCUGUGAAGGUGUGCUGUGAGGCAUGCUGGAGGUAUCAGAAGUGCGAAUGCUGACAUAAGUAACGAGUAAAGCGGGUGAAAAGCCCGCUCGCCGGAAGACCAAGGGUUCCUGUCCAACGUUAAUCGGGGCAGGGUGAGUCGACCCCUAAGGCGAGGCCGAAAGGCGUAGUCGAUGGGAAACAGGUUAAUAUUCCUGUACUUGGUGUUACUGCGAAGGGGGGACGGAGAAGGGCUAUGUUGGCCGGGCGACGGUUGUCCCGGUUUAAGCGUGUAGGCUGGUUUUCCAGGCAAAUCCGGAAAAUCAAGGCUGAGGCGUGAUGACGAGGCACUACGGUGCUGAAGCAACAAAUGCCCUGCUUCCAGGAAAAGCCUCUAAGCAUCAGGUAACAUCAAAUCGUACCCCAAACCGACACAGGUGGUCAGGUAGAGAAUACCAAGGCGCUUGAGAGAACUCGGGUGAAGGAACUAGGCAAAAUGGUGCCGUAACUUCGGGAGAAGGCACGCUGAUAUGUAGGUGAAGUCCCUCGCGGAUGGAGCUGAAAUCAGUCGAAGAUACCAGCUGGCUGCAACUGUUUAUUAAAAACACAGCACUGUGCAAACACGAAAGUGGACGUAUACGGUGUGACGCCUGCCCGGUGCCGGAAGGUUAAUUGAUGGGGUUAGCGCAAGCGAAGCUCUUGAUCGAAGCCCCGGUAAACGGCGGCCGUAACUAUAACGGUCCUAAGGUAGCGAAAUUCCUUGUCGGGUAAGUUCCGACCUGCACGAAUGGCGUAAUGAUGGCCAGGCUGUCUCCACCCGAGACUCAGUGAAAUUGAACUCGCUGUGAAGAUGCAGUGUACCCGCGGCAAGACGGAAAGACCCCGUGAACCUUUACUAUAGCUUGACACUGAACAUUGAGCCUUGAUGUGUAGGAUAGGUGGGAGGCUUUGAAGUGUGGACGCCAGUCUGCAUGGAGCCGACCUUGAAAUACCACCCUUUAAUGUUUGAUGUUCUAACGUUGACCCGUAAUCCGGGUUGCGGACAGUGUCUGGUGGGUAGUUUGACUGGGGCGGUCUCCUCCUAAAGAGUAACGGAGGAGCACGAAGGUUGGCUAAUCCUGGUCGGACAUCAGGAGGUUAGUGCAAUGGCAUAAGCCAGCUUGACUGCGAGCGUGACGGCGCGAGCAGGUGCGAAAGCAGGUCAUAGUGAUCCGGUGGUUCUGAAUGGAAGGGCCAUCGCUCAACGGAUAAAAGGUACUCCGGGGAUAACAGGCUGAUACCGCCCAAGAGUUCAUAUCGACGGCGGUGUUUGGCACCUCGAUGUCGGCUCAUCACAUCCUGGGGCUGAAGUAGGUCCCAAGGGUAUGGCUGUUCGCCAUUUAAAGUGGUACGCGAGCUGGGUUUAGAACGUCGUGAGACAGUUCGGUCCCUAUCUGCCGUGGGCGCUGGAGAACUGAGGGGGGCUGCUCCUAGUACGAGAGGACCGGAGUGGACGCAUCACUGGUGUUCGGGUUGUCAUGCCAAUGGCACUGCCCGGUAGCUAAAUGCGGAAGAGAUAAGUGCUGAAAGCAUCUAAGCACGAAACUUGCCCCGAGAUGAGUUCUCCCUGACUCCUUGA
rnacentral:rRNA from 1 species